ACAAAAGGUGAGAAGAAGCUGAAGGCGAUGGUGUCCCAGUGCUGGAGGUGGUCGGGGAAGUGCCUGUGCUGCCCCCUGAAAAAUAAAAGAUGGAGAUGGACUGUCAGCUCUGGUGUCACUGGUCCAAGAUGGUUCCUUCCUGGUACAAGAGUUGUCAGCCCCUUGGACACGGAUGGUGGUCACACAAGCUCUUUUGGUUUGGGCCAUACAAACAGCUCCACUGUAUAUAUCAUCAGAACAACAGGACUGCACUUGGCCAUAACUGACCUGGGCUCUUCUUUUUUCUUCUCUACCUGUGUUGCCUCAGUCAACGUCCCCAAGCAUCACCUACUUGGUUAGUUCAUUUUGUCCCUGCCACUAGCAGUGUUCAGGCAGAAGCCCCUCCUGAAAUAGAAUCCUAUCUCCAGACUCUCCAAACAUGUGAACUCCCUUGCUGAUUCUAAAUGAAGACAUCUGAAGGUAAGACCAUACACUUGACUUCAUAAAAAUAGAAUAUCGACCUAUUUAGAAUUAAUGCUCAAGGUGUUGGCCAGAAAACAUCAAUUGGAAGUGUAAACUAAAAAACAAUGUUGUGGACAAUCAAAGCUCUAGUAAGAAUGAAGAAAUCAAAUGUGGUCUAAUGGAAAGGGAACUGCCCUGUCAAGAUGGAGACGCACUUCGGAAUCCUAAGCUCACUUCUGCCACCAUUUACCUGCAGAUAUGUGAGCAGACUUUGCUCUGUGCCUUGGUUUCUCUUUGUGUAAAAGGCAGAGGAUAAUGAAUCCCAUGCAUGCUUCUCCAUAGGAGAAAACAACUAUAUAGAAUACCCAUUCAAUAUAUUUUUUUAAACAGAAGGAUUUGGGUUUUUGCAAAACUGAGGCUAAUUCAACUAAGGGCUUUCCUUGCAAUGUUACCAACAAAUGGGUCUUCACGAAAGAGAAAUAAAAAUGACAGCAAGGACGGGAUGAAAAAAGCAUCUGUAACCUCAUUCAGACAGAAGAGUCUAGCUUCCAGCAACAGCAGCAGAAGCAGCAGUAGAAAACAGUCUUAGGGCCAUGUAUUUGACAUGCCAGAUAUUCAUGUGUCUGAAGCAGUGAGGUUAUAUGGACACUGGGUAAGUCAGUCAUUAUGUGGAGCUUAGGUUUCGUGUCAACACUGCCAAUACUCUCUUCACCAAAAGGGAAUUACUACAAGAUCAGUCUGCCACCGAAGUUUCCUCUAGAAGGUCAUCACUUUCUACUCCUUCUAAGACACGAGACAGUUCAACACAGGUGGCUAUGUCUCUUUUCUUCGUUUCAUACGUGAUACUGUCCAGAGCUACCAGAAUUCUUAGUUCUUAAGGGAGGAGGGAGUGAAUGUUGUUUCUUUUAUGUCCUUUGUUAAUGUGAAGAAACGAAGCCACAUAUUUUUUAAUAAUGAGAAUCUGGAUCAAGUUCAAUGUAUAGUUCAAAAAUGGAUUCCAAUUAAACAAUUGAACAGAAUUUUGGCUUUUCCUCCAGCCCCAUCCCACUACCAUAUGUAUCUAGUAAUUCCAAGUUCAUCCCCCACCAAUAAAAAAUGGACUCCCUAA